rnacentral:lncRNA from 1 species
AAACACAUGAAAUUUACAUGGAAAAACUCCUCAAAAGAGGAUAAAAACCACUACAAGAAAGGAGAAUUCACUAUAAUAAAAAGAAAGUACAAAAGAUAGAGAGAAUCAAAAGAAAACCCAAUGCCCCGGAAGAAAAAACCCUUCAAAACAAAGGAUAGAAUUAUCUCAAUCUAAAUAUUUAUGUUAUAUAAAACCUAGAGUAAAGGCUUAUUUAUAAGCUGAAAUUCAUAGUAUAUAUGACUAGAAUAUCCCUAGAUUAAUCAGAUUUUAAGUGGAAAUUUGAAAUAUAGUUUAACUAAGAGAAGAAAGCCGAAAAACUUGAAAUGCACACCGUCACAUCGUGACGUGGAGUUUGGUUAUAGGACAAGGAAGGAUCGCAUCAUCAGGACGAGGACUUUCUUCUUGUUGUGACGUCUGCUGCUCGUUGGGACGAAGAGUUUCUCCUCAUUGUGACAUCACAUGCUGCUUGAUUGAAAUGCGAGGCAUACUUUCACACAAUAUCCACAAUAAAUGUAUAUUUGCGCUAAAAACAAGAGUGGACUUAGAGAUUAAAUUAAUUUCUUUAAAUUAUUAUUUAAUUGAUUGUUAUUAAAUAAUUGAAGUUUAAUGUGAAAAUUAAAUUAAUUAGUUAGUUUACAUUUAUUUACUUAUAGAUUCUAGUACAAUAAAGUUGACAUGACUUUAACGAAAUUAAAAUUUUGUUGAGAAAAUUAUUUAAUUGAGUAAAUUAAUUAAAUAAAUAAUAUUUGAAAAAUAGAAAAUUGAUUAUUAAGUUGAAUAAAUUAUAUUAGUUAGUUUAAGUGCAGAUAACGCAUAUAAUUGUUCUCAAUACACAAAUGAGCUUAUUUAUUAUGUGAUGGGAGACAAAUUGGUUUUUAGAAAAGAAGUGUGCGUUCACCUAUUUUAUAAUCCUUUUUUUAUUAAAAUAUUAGUAUUUUAUUACAUCUUGUUCAACUAAAACUCUUGUAAUUUUUCCCUAUAAAUAGAGAUUAUGAGUUAGGUCAAACCAUACUAUUGUUGAGAGCAGUUACUUUGAAGAAAUUCAAAGAGAUUGCUUUGAAAAUUCUAUUUUUAUUGAAAACUCGUAUUAAAAAUUUUUCCUAUAGAGAGAUUUAUUAUAGAAAUUUAAUAGUUUUAAUUGUCUGAUCGAUUUGUACGUAUUAAAAUCAUUCUAAUUUUUUUUAGAGCUUAUAAGUUCAAAUCGAAUACAAUUACAAAUAUAUGUUUGUGUAAUAACAAAAUAAAAUCAAAUCAAUACAGAGUACAAAUAGAUGAGGAACUAGAAUAUAAUCAGACAAAACCCAUUCACGGCAACUAUGCAUGGGAGAUUGGUGACCCACACAUAGUAAUUGCUUAUAUAACUCCUUCAAUUUUAAAAAAAUUACAAGUAAAUAUAAUGGUAAAAUUAUACUUUGACCUUCCAAAAUUCUUAUUCAUUUUUUACUUCCCUAAACAAUUUCUUAGCUUUACACAUAAACUCGAACUUGAAUACUCCAUGACUUAAGACCUCGGUACUUUCCCAUAACCUCAAGACCUCAUUAGUAAAACUAUUUUAAUGAAGUCAUCUGAGGUUUCUUUUAUAAAAGGUAGAAGGUAAAAUUAUGCCGAGAACUGAACUUGAAAUCGAUGAAUUAAAAACUUCAAGAAAAUUAUUUGAUGGUCCCUUAUAAUUCAAUGGACAAAACAAUAUAAGUUAAAUCACUUUAUUUCAAGUGGUUUUGAGUUUAAAAUUAUUUGGAAUUCAACCUUUUGGGUUUUGAUAUUCAUAUUAUUUAGUCCAUAUUUAAUUUAUUGGUUUUUUUAAACAAAACAAGUAUCUGUUAAUUUUGAAAAAUCCGUGGCUUUUUUCAGUUAGAAUGUGAAUGAACAAGAUAAGAAUAUGGUUUUUCAGUCUCUUAAUGUUCGGUGCUCGACAAAUCCAGAGAAAUACCUUGAUCCCCCAAAUAUGGUGGGCUGGAAGAAGAAGUUGGCCUUCCAGAAUUUGAAAGAUCAUUUGAAGCAAAAGAUAAAUAGUUGGAGUUUACGACAUAUUUCACAAGGAGGCAAAGAGGUUUUUAUAAAAUUUGUUUUGCAAGCAAUUCCUACUUACACGAUGGCUUGCUUCCUUUUGCCAAAAUCUCUUUGUCUUGAACUGGAAAAUAUUGUGGGUUCAUUUUGGUAGAGGAAAAAUCAUGGAAAACGAGGUAUGCAUUAGUGUGAUUAGAAGUCGUUGUGUGCGCUUAAGGAUGAAGUUGGUAUGGGUUUUCGUAAUCUGAUUCAUUUUAAUAUCGCUUUAUUGGCCAAACAGGGUUGGCGUUUGUUACGUAAUCCUAAUUCUUUAUUAGCUCGUACUUUAAAAGCCAAAUAUUAUAAAGAAUCUGAUUUCUUAAAUUCUAGGUUGGGAAAUCUACCUUCUUUUACCUGGCAGAGUAUUUGGGCCGCAAAAGGCCUUCUUUUGAAGGGCUUGGGCUAGAGGAUCGGGAAUGGAAGGAAAGUCUCUAUUUGGGAUGAAGCAUGGAUCCCUGGAAGUGAAGAUUUCAGAUUACAGAAUAUGAAUGUUAAUUUGAGCAUUCUAAAGGCUGUUGAUUUGAUUUAUGCUAACGUUAGAAAAUGGAACUCUGAAUUGAUCUAUAAUACCUUUUCAGAACAAGAUGCAGAUAGGAUCCUUUGUAUCCCUUUGUCUCUGUAUGAGCAUAAAGACUUUUUCAUUUGGCGAGGUGAACCGACUGGGGAAUAUUCGGUGCGUAGUGGACAUAAACUUCUUCUACAUGAAGACCAGAAUCAUUUACAGGCAAAUUACAAACAAUUUUACAAAAAAUUGUGGAAUCUAGAUCUUCCCCCUAAAAUUAAGAUUACAGUAUGGCGUUUUUCACGAAACUUUCUGCCUACUUUCAGUAAUCUUAACUAUCGAAGAUUAAUGGGUUUGUUGCUGGUGCCAAAGUGAGGCGGAAACGAGGGAACACUUGUUCCGGGAGUGCCCUACAGUAAAAGAAACAUGGGAGAAUUUAAGUAUCAGUUAGCCUAUUCCAGAAGAAAACACUGACUUCAGGGAUUGGUUAAAAAAUAUUUUUGAUUCCAGAUCUACGGCUACCUACAGAAUUAUAGCAUAUACACUAUGGGCGAUUUGGACCUCCAGAAACAGAUUUAUUCAUGAGUGUGAAGUUAAAACAAGUGCUCAAAUAACAGUUUUUGUGAAAAAAUUUAUGCAGGAACUUAAUGGUUUGAAAGUUCCUUUACCUGAAAAACGGCUCUGUUAGGUAAGAUAGGUUACUCCGGGGGGAACGGGGCUUAAAAUUAACUUCGACGCCGCUUUCAACAAACAUAGAAAAGAGUCGUGUUCUGGGUUAGUUAUCCGAAAUAAUAAAGCAGAGGUUAUUUGCUCAAAAUCAAUAAUAAACUCGAACAUACAUCCGCCUUUGCAGCAAAAGUGGUGGCAGGUCUCCAAGCACUGCAACUCGAAUUUCACCUUGGGUUGAGGGAGGUGGAGAUUGAAGGCGAUUCUCGGCCGGUGAUUCGUAAACUACAAGAGAAGCUAGAGGAUAGAUCUGAGAUUGUUACGUUUAUUAAUGACUCAAAAAACCUAAGAUUAGGUUUUCAGGUAUGUGUUUUCUUUUUUACAAAUAGAGAAUCGAAUAAGGUUGCGUAUGUCAUUGCAUCUAAAGGACUAAGAAAGAGGGAGACGACUUAUCUGGAGAACCAGGUUCUUUCUGGCACAAUAGAUGUGAUGGCUGAAGAUCGGAGGUGGACGGAGAGCUGAGGGGCCGGAGGGUAGGAGAUGAAGUUGAAAACGUUUUUUGAAAUAUUUCUGUUGGGAGACCAUUCAAUGAUAAAUGGAGUCUUCAAAGGGAACUUUGGGGGUUGGAAUGGUCAGUUGAUGGAUGAAUUGAUGAUAAUUAAUUUUCUGUUUACUGUUCCCCAUAAGUCUGUUACUUUCAAGAGGGUUUAUUUGUUGGUUUACAGCUGGAGCAAGAAGGCUCUAGAGCUUCCCUUUUGUUGUUUUGCUGGUUAGUGAUGGUAACCACGUAUCUAAGGGUAUAAUCGGUAAUUUGAC